GAUGAACGCUGGCGGCGUGCUUAACACAUGCAAGUCGAACGAAGCACUUUAUUUGAUUUCCUUCGGGACUGAUUAUUUUGUGACUGAGUGGCGGACGGGUGAGUAACGCGUGGGUAACCUGCCUUGUACAGGGGGAUAACAGUUGGAAACGGCUGCUAAUACCGCAUAAGCGCACGGCAUCGCAUGAUGCAGUGUGAAAAACUCCGGUGGUAUAAGAUGGACCCGCGUUGGAUUAGCUAGUUGGUGAGGUAACGGCCCACCAAGGCGACGAUCCAUAGCCGACCUGAGAGGGUGACCGGCCACAUUGGGACUGAGACACGGCCCAAACUCCUACGGGAGGCAGCAGUGGGGAAUAUUGCACAAUGGGCGAAAGCCUGAUGCAGCGACGCCGCGUGAGCGAAGAAGUAUUUCGGUAUGUAAAGCUCUACCAGCAGGG
rnacentral:rRNA from 1 species